rnacentral:lncRNA from 1 species
GUUCCGGCCCCAAAGCGGCUCCGGCGACUGCCGCGCCUCAGCCCCCGCCCCACCGCGGCACCCCCGAGAGGGGCACUGCCGCCCUCGACGCGGGGUUGCGAGAGGCGGGAAGGGAUUCGCGGGAAGGAAUUCGCGGGAAGGGUCUGUGGAGGAGCGUGGCGGCCCGGUCCUGAGGGAGGGCGUGUGUGAGUGAUGGUGCGGGUUGUGCGCUCCAAGGCUGGGCUACUCAACAGAGGGAGAAAGGCUGAAGAGACAAAGUGACACGAGGAGAAACGAGGCAGUUGGAGACUGUAUUGCUUUAAGGUUUACAACAGCAGUGUGUGAAGAAGUAGGCUGUGAGGAGUCUUC